rnacentral:rRNA from 1 species
CUCUAUGGUUAAUACCCAUAGACGAUGACAUUAGCUGCAGAAUAAGCACCGGCUAACUCUGUGCCAGCAGCCGCGGUAAUACAGAGGGUGCAAGCGUUAAUCGGAAUUACUGGGCGUAAAGCGAGCGUAGGUGGCUUGAUAAGUCGGAUGUGAAAUCCCCGGGCUUAACCUGGGAACUGCAUCUGAUACUGUUAAGCUAGAGUAGGUGAGAGGGAAGUAGAAUUUCAGGUGUAGCGGUGAAAUGCGUAGAGAUCUGAAGGAAUACCGAUGGCGAAGGCAGCUUCCUGGCAUCAUACUGACACUGAGGCUCGAAAGCGUGGGUAGCAAACAGGAUUAGAUACCCUGGUAGUCCACGCCGUAAACGAUGUC